GUGGGGAAUAUUGGACAAUGGGCGAAAGCCUGAUCCAGCCAUGCCGCGUGUGUGAAGAAGGUCUUCGGAUUGUAAAGCACUUUAAGUUGGGAGGAAGGGCAGUAAGUUAAUACCUUGCUGUUUUGACGUUACCAACAGAAUAAGCACCGGCUAACUUCGUGCCAGCAGCCGCGGUAAUACGAAGGGUGCAAGCGUUAAUCGGAAUUACUGGGCGUAAAGCGCGCGUAGGUGGUUUUGUAAGUUGGAGGUGAAAUCCCCGGGCUCAACCUGGGAACUGCCUCCAAAACUGGCGAGCUAGAGUACGGUAGAGGGUGGUGGAAUUUCCUGUGUAGCGGUGAAAUGCGUAGAUAUAGGAAGGAACACCAGUGGCGAAGGCGACCACCUGGACUGAUACUGACACUGAGGUGCGAAAGCGUGGGGAGCAAACAGGAUUAGAAACCCUGGUAGUCC
rnacentral:rRNA from 1 species